UUUCAGAGAUGAGAAUGUGCCUUCGGGAACCGUGAGACAGGUGCUGCAUGGCUGUCGUCAGCUCGUGUUGUGAAAUGUUGGGUUAAGUCCCGCAACGAGCGCAACCCUUAUCCUUUGUUGCCAGCGAUUAGGUCGGGAACUCAAAGGAGACUGCCAGUGAUAAACUGGAGGAAGGUGGGGAUGACGUCAAGUCAUCAUGGCCCUUACGACCAGGGCUACACACGUGCUACAAUGGCGCAUACAAAGAGAAGCGACCUCGCGAGAGCAAGCGGACCUCAUAAAGUGCGUCGUAGUCCGGAUUGGAGUCUGCAACUCGACUCCAUGAAGUCGGAAUCGCUAGUAAUCGUGGAUCAGAAUGCCACGGUGAAUACGUUCCCGGGCCUUGUACACACCGCCCGUCACACCAUGGGAGUGGGUUGCAAAAGAAGUAGGUAGCUUAACCUUCGGGAGGGCGCUUACCACUUUGUGAUUCAUGACUGGGGUGAAGUCGUAACAAGGUAACCGUAGGGGAACCUGCGGUUGGAUCACCUCCUUA
rnacentral:rRNA from 2 species